CAAUGAACACUGAAUGUCGCCUCGAUGUUAUUUAUUUGAUUCAAAACUAAGAAGUGUUCUUGCAUACCUGCCAGGAAUCACUAGGUUCCUAGUGGAGGAGUCCAGGAAGAAGAACAAGACUGACAACAACCAUAGCUAUCACUUUCCAGAACUUUCUGAGCCACAGACUUCACAAACGUUAUCUUGUUCAUCUCAUAGCAAUCCAGUGAGGUGGGGACCAUCCUUAUGCCCAUUUUCCAGUGGGGGAAACUGAGUCUCACAGUGGUUACGUCUCGCGUGGACAGUCUGUCAGCUGGUGAGUGGCAGAGUCGGCAUUUAAACCCCACACCAUUUGAUUCUACAUCCCACGCUUUACCUCCUUACUGCACACUGCAUUCCUGGACCCCUUCCAGCCGUUAGCCCCCCACCCAAGGGGAGCCACUCUCCUGACUUCCACAGCAGAGAUUAGUCCUUCUGUAUUUGUACUUUAUGUAAAUGGAAUCAUGCAGUGUGUGCUCUUUGGUGUCUGGCUUCUUUCACUCAACAUUAAGUUUGUGAGAUUCACCCAUGUUGUUGAGUAUGGCUGUUGAUCUUUGGUAUGCUCUUGGCCGUAUGGAAUUCCAUCGUGUGACUACGCUUCAGUUUAUGUAUCCAUUCUAUUAUUGAUGGACUUUGCAUUGUUUCUUGUUCUUGACUAUUACACAAAGCUGUAUUAUGCAUAUAUAAACUUUUAAGGUUGUAGAUAAAAGAAUCUAUAUAGACAAUCAUAUCAUCUGUGGAUAAUGAGAAAUUUUAGGGUUUUUUUCCCCUUUCCAAACCUUAUAUGUUUUCUUUCUUUUCUUUUUUCUUCCUGAUUUUAAAAGCCUUCACUGUUUCACCAUUAAAAAUAAUUUUGUGUAGGUUUUGGUUAGACUUCCCUUAUCAGAUUAAGGAAAUCCCUUUCGAUUCUGAGCUAGUUAAUUUUUUAAAUCAUAAAUAGAUAUUUUGAAUUUCAUCGAACGUGUUUUCUCUAUCUUUGGAAAUAACCAUAUUGUUUUGUUCUUGUAAUGCUAAUGGGGUGAAAGAUAAUUACAGAUUUUCUGAAGUUAAACCUUACAUUCCUGGAAUAAACUCAGCUGAGUCA